rnacentral:rRNA from 1 species
CCGGAAUCAUUGGGCGUAAAGAGCGUGUAGGCGGCCACUUAAGUCCUGCGUGAAAUCUUGCGGCUCAACCGCAAGCGGUCGUGGGAAACUGGGUGGCUAGAGUGCGGGAGAGGAGAGUGGAAUUCCUGGUGUAGCGGUGGAAUGCGCAGAUAUCAGGAAGAACACCCGUGGCGAAGGCGGCUCUCUGGAACGCAACUGACGCUGAGACGCGAAAGCGUGGGGAGCAAACAGG